rnacentral:tRNA from 1 species
GGGUGGUUGGCGGAGUAGUCAAACGCAUCAGUCUGUAAAACUGACGGUCACUGACCUACGGGGGUGCAAAUCCCUCACCACCCA